AUUGAACGCUGGCGGCAGGCCUAACACAUGCAAGUCGAACGAGUGGCGGACGGGUGAGUAAUGUCUGGGAAACUGCCCGAUGGAGGGGGAUAACUACUGGAAACGGUAGCUAAUACCGCAUACCAUCGGAUGUGCCCAGAUGGGAUUAGCUGGUUGGUGGGGUAACGGCUCACCUAGGCGACGAUCCCUAGCUGGUCUGAGAGGAUGACCAGCCAAACUGGGACUGAGAAACCGUCCAGACUCCUACGGGGGGGAGCAGGGGGGAAAAUUGCACAAUGGGGGGAAGCCUGAUGCAGCCAUGCCGGGUGGUAGAAGAAGGCCUUCGGGUUUGAAAGCACUUUCAGCGGGGAGGCGUUACCCGCAGAAGAAGCACCGGCUAACUCCGUGCCAGCAGCCGCGGUAAUUC
rnacentral:rRNA from 1 species